rnacentral:rRNA from 1 species
UACGGAGGGGACUAGCGUUGUUCGGAAUUACUAGGCGUAAAGCGCACGUAGGCGGAUUUGUAAGUCAGGGGUGAAAUCCCGGGGCUCAACCUCGGAACUGCCUUUGAUACUGCAAAUCUCGAGUCCGGAAGAGGUGAGUGGAAUUCCUAGUGUAGAGGUGAAAAUUCGUAGAUAUUAGGAAGAACACCAGUGGCGAAGGCGGCUCACUGGUCCGGUACUGACGCUGAGGUGCGAAAGCGUGGGGAGCAAACAGGG